AUUGCUUCUCGGCCUUUUGGCUAAGAUCAAGUGUAGUAUGAAUUUAUUUGUCAGCUAGGUUCUUCUUGAUCAGGUAUUUUUGGAAACUGGGGAGGGGGGCAUGUUUUGCUGCCCCCAAAUUGCAAGGUGAAGGAUGACUACCUAAUUUUGAUCUAUU
rnacentral:snRNA from 1 species